rnacentral:rRNA from 1 species
UGGCCCUACGGGACGCAGCAGUGGGGGAUAUUGCACAAUGGGGGAAACCCUGAUGCAGCGACGCCGCGUGGGUGAAGAAGCGCCUCGGCGCGUAAAGCCCUGUCAGCAGGGAAGAAAAUGACGGUACCUGAAGAAGAAGCCCCGGCUAACUACGUGCCAGCAGCCGCGGUAAUACGUAGGGGGCAAGCGUUAUCCGGAUUUACUGGGUGUAAAGGGGGCGCAGACGGCGAUGCAAGCCAGGAGUGAAAGCCCGGGGCCCAACCCCGGGACUGCUCUUGGAGCUGCGUAGCUAGAGUGCGGGGGGG